rnacentral:rRNA from 1 species
CAACUUUCGAUGGUAGGAUAGAGGCCUACCAUGGNNGUAACGGGUAACGGGGAAUUAGGGUUCGAUUCCGGAGAGGGAGCCUGAGAAACGGCUACCACAUCCAAGGAAGGCAGCAGGCGCGCAAAUUACCCAAUCCCGACACGGGGAGGUAGUGACAAUAAAUAACAAUACGGGGCUCUUUCGGGUCUCGUAAUUGGAAUGAGUACGAUUUAAAUCCCUUAACGAGGAACAAUUGGAGGGCAAGUCUGGUGCCAGCAGCCGCGGUAAUUCCAGCUCCAAUAGCGUAUAUUAAAGUUGUUGCAGUUAAAAAGCUCGUAGUUGAAUUUCGGGAUUGACACAUCGGUCGUGCCCUAAGGGGUAUGAACUGGUGUCGUCAGUUUCUCACCUUCUGGAGAACCGCGAUGUCCUUAAUUGGGUGCCGCGAGGAACCAGGACCUUUACUUUGAAAAAAUUAGAGUGUUUAAAGCAGGCAUUUUGCUUGAAUACAUUAGCAUGGAAUAAUAAAAUAGGACGGAUGGUUCUAUUUUGUUGGUUUCUAGGAUCACCGUAAUGAUUAAUAGGGAUAGUUGGGGGCAUUAGUAUUCAAUUGUCAGAGGUGAAAUUCUUGGAUUUAUUGAAGACUAACUACUGCGAAAGCAUUUGCCAAGGAUGUUUUCAUUAAUCAAGAACGAAAGUUAGGGGAUCGAAGACGAUCAGAUACCGUCGUAGUCUUAACCAUAAACUAUGCCGACUAGGAAUCAGACGAUGUUAAUUUUUUAAUGACUCGUCUGGCACCUUACGGGAAACCAAAGUGUUUGGGUUC